CAUGCAAGUCGAACGGAGCACCCUUGAUUGAGGUUUCGGCCAAAUGAUAGGAAUGCUUAGUGGCGGACUGGUGAGUAACGCGUGAGGAACCUGCCUUUCAGAGGGGGACAACAGUUGGAAACGACUGCUAAUACCGCAUGACGCAUUUUGAUCGCAUGGUCGAAAUGCCAAAGAUUUAUCGCUGAAAGAUGGCCUCGCGUCUGAUUAGCUAGUUGGCGGGGUAACGGCCCACCAAGGCGACGAUCAGUAGCCGGACUGAGAGGUUGACCGGCCACAUUGGGACUGAGAUACGGCCCAGACUCCUACGGGAGGCAGCAGUGGGGAAUAUUGGGCAAUGGGCGCAAGCCUGACCCAGCAACGCCGCGUGAAGGAAGAAGGCUUUCGGGUUGUAAACUUCUUUUAAGUGGGAAGAGCAGAAGACGGUACCACUUGAAUAAGCCACGGCUAACUACGUGCCAGCAGCCGCGGUAAUACGUAGGUGGCAAGCGUUGUCCGGAUUUACUGGGUGUAAAGGGCGUGCAGCCGGGCAUGCAAGUCAGAUGUGAAAUCUCAGGGCUUAACCCUGAAACUGCAUUUGAAACUGUAUGUCUUGAGUGCCGGAGAGGUAAUCGGAAUUCCUUGUGUAGCGGUGAAAUGCGUAGAUAUAAGGAAGAACACCAGUGGCGAAGGCGGAUUACUGGACGGUAACUGACGGUGAGGCGCGAAAGCGUGGGGAGCGAACAGGAUUAGAUACCCUGGUAGUCCACGCUGUAAACGAUGGAUACUAGGUGUGCGGGGACUGACCCCCUGCGUGCCGCAGUUAACACAAUAAGUAUCCCACCUGGGGAGUACGAUCGCAAGG
rnacentral:rRNA from 1 species